CCAGAACAGAGUUAUAUAUCUGCGGAGGAGUUGGAAACUCUUGAUUAGGGGUCUAGAGUUAGAAUAUUGAAAGGUCACAGUUGGGUGAUAACUAGAGUCAGUGACUCAGUUACCGCAGCAUGAGCUAGAGUUACAGUAAAAGUUGCCAUCAGACCAGAGGUUUCGGACUAGUUGCAAAGUAAAGGUGACACUUAUAGAGUGAGAAUAGUAUACCUUGUGUGUAUCA
rnacentral:misc_RNA from 1 species